UUUAAAAAAAAAUCCAGAUCAGUGUAAGAAUCUCGGGUCUUCUUUUGAAAUCGCGUCACUUCCGCUCUCUUCGAUUUCCGCCGACGGCAGGCCAAGAAGACAAGAUGAGUCAUAAUCCAGAAGUUCUUUGGGAUAAGGUUCUGACAAUGGCCUUGCCGGAUGCAAAGGAGGUUUGGGAGAUCCAGAUCCUUGGAGUUGAUGCUUGAUUCUUGAGCGACUUGGUUUAAAUGCAAUGUACCAAAAAAAUGCAAUCUAUGGUGUCCUUGGAAGCCCUUCUUCCUCACUUCACUUGCUUCGGUGUAUAAUCUUCUGAUGUUCAUAGUGAAGGGUUCAGGAUUGUGAGACAAAUAGAGGACUAAGGAACAUCAUAUGUAUGUUCAGUUCAGGAAGAAGAAAAGGGUAGGUGGAAAGGACUGCUGAGAAUGGGAAGAGAAACCUACACCUUACAUUAAAGUUGAUCAGAACAAAUGGUGGGAUGACAAGGACGAGUCCAUCUGUAAGUCUUGAAAAUUACCGUUAAAGUGCCCUUGAAUCUAAUCUCUCUGGGUUUAUCUGAAAUCUUCAUCUUCAACCAGCCAAACAUAUUUCUACUUUUUGUCUUGGAACAAGGCUCUGCCCCCAUGUUCUGUUUCUUGUCCUCAACUCGGCUCUAGACCUUUAUAUGCCUCUGUUGCAGCUGAUAGUGAUGUUUCCUCCGAUGACCAGUCCGAGGUAAAUUCUUUGUCCACAGAUAGCUUACGUUUAACGUUUGUUAGGCAACGUUGUCGUGUCGAAAUCAUUUUCGCCUUGUUCAUCGUACUUUGUGGAUCGGGAUGGUGAUGGCAGUGAUGGCGAUUGAAUGCUCUGUAAGUUUCGACAAUCUUGAUCUCUACAGAGUCGUCUAUGAUUCGAUAUGCAAUGAGCUUUGGUUUGCGAAUUAUGUAGCAGACCUGUGUCUAGAGGUUAAGGGGAAAAGAAAGAAACGACCCCAUAGGCUCAUACUCAUCUGUCAUUUGGCAUAAAGAAACGGUGCAGCCUUUAUCUUCCAAUUGUAAUCUGAGGAUUGACAGACUCAUCUUUUGAAUGCAUUUCUUAGAUCUACCUGAUCUGGAAAGGCUCAAACU